rnacentral:rRNA from 1 species
UCCGAACUGGCACGGACUUGGGGAAUCCGACUGUCUCCUUAAAACAAAGCAUUGUGAUGGCCCUAGCGGGUGUUGACACAAUGUGAUUUCUGCCCAGUGCUCUGAAUGUCAAAGUGAAGAAAUUCAAGUAAGCGCGGGUCAACGGCGGGAGUAACUAUGACUCUCUUAAGGUAGCCAAAUGCCUCGUCAUCUAAUUAGUGACGCGCAUGAAUGGAUUAACGAGAUUCCUACUGUCCCUAUCUACUAUCUAGCGAAACCACAGCCAAGGGAACGGGCUUGGAAUAAUUAGCGGGGAAAGAAGACCCUUUUGAGCUUGACUCUAAUCUGGCAGUGUAAGGAGACAUAAGAGGUGUAGAAUAAGUGGGAGAUAUUAGACCUCGGUUUGGUAUCGUCAAUGAAAUACCACUACUCUUAUUGUUUCCUUACUUACUUGAUUAAAUGGAACGUGUAUCAUUUCCUAGCCAUUAUACGGAUAUAUUUAUUAUAUCUUAUGGUAUUGGGUUUUGAUGCAAGCUUCUUGAUCAAAGUAUCACGAGUCUGUCAUAUAAUCGCAAACAAAUUCUUUAAUAAAACGAUGCAUUUAUGUAUUUUUGAUUUGAAAAUUUGGUAUAACUCCAAUUACUCAGGUAUGAUCCAAUUCAAGGACAUUGCCAGGUAGGGAGUUUGACUGGGGCGGUACAUCUCUCAAAUAAUAACGGAGGUGUCCCAAGGCCAGCUCAGUGCGGACAGAAACCACACAUAGAGCAAAAGGGCAAAUGCUGACUUGAUCUCGGUGUUCAGUACACACAGGGACAGCAAAAGCUCGGCCUAUCGAUCCUUUUGGUUUAAAGAGUUUUUAACAAGAGGUGUCAGAAAAGUUACCAUAGGGAUAACUGGCUUGUGGCGGCCAAGCGUUCAUAGCGACGUCGCUUUUUGAUCCUUCGAUGUCGGCUCUUCCUAUCAUUGUGAAGCAAAAUUCACCAAGCGUUGGAUUGUUCACCCAUGCAAGGGAACGUGAGCUGGGUUUAGACCGUCGUGAGACAGGUUAGUUUUACCCUACUAAUGACAAAACGUUGUUGCGACAGCAUUCCUGCGUAGUACGAGAGGAACCGCAGGUACGGACCAAUGGCACAAUACUUGUUCGAGCGAACAGUGGUAUGACGCUACGUCCGUUGGAUUAUGCCUGAACGCCUCUAAGGUCGUAUCCGUGCUGGACUGCAAUGAUAAAUAAGGGGCAAUUUGCAUUGUAUGGCUUCUAAACCAUUUAAAGUUUAUAAUUUAUUUUAUAAACGACAAUAGAUGUGAUGCCAAUGUAAUUUGUAACAUAGUAAAUUAGGAAGAUCUUCGAUCACCUGAUGCCGCGCUAGUUACAUAUAAAAGCAUUAUUUAAUACAAUGACAAAGCCUAGAAUCAAUUGUAAACGACUUUUGUAACAGGCAAGGUGUUGUAAGUGGUUGAGCAGCUGCCAUACUGCGAUCCACUGAAGCUUAUCCUUUGCUUGAUGAUUCGAUAAAUAAAUGA